rnacentral:rRNA from 1 species
GACUCCAUGAAGCUGGAUUCGCUAGUAAUCGCGCAUCAGCCACGGCGCGGUGAAUACGUUCCCGGGCCUUGUACACACCGCCCGUUAAGCCAUGGAAGCCGGGGGUGCCUGAAGUGCGCUGCCGCAAGGAGCGCCCUAGGGUAAAACCGGUGACUGGGGCUAAGUCGUAACAAGGUACC